rnacentral:sRNA from 2 species
AUUCUACCCAUGUGGGGAAGGAUGAGAAGCUUCGACUAAGGUUCGAUUCGAGCGCAGCGAGAAAGCGUUGCCGCAGGCAACGACCCGA